UGGGGAAUUAUGGACAACGGGCGCAAGCCUGAUCCACCAAUGCCGCGUGCAGGAUGAAGGCCUUCGGGUUGUAAACUGCUUUUGUACGGAGCGAAAAGGUCUGCCCUAAUACGGUGGGCUCAUGACGGUACCGUAAGAAUAAGCACCGGCUAACUACGUGCCAGCAGCCGCGGUAAUACGUAGGGUGCGAGCGUUAAUCGGAAUUACUGGGCGUAAAGCGUGCGCAGGCGGUUAUAUAAGACAGAUGUGAAAUCCCCGGGCUCAACCUGGGACCUGCAUUUGUGACUGUAGAGCUUGAGUACGGUAGAGGGGGGUGGAAUUCCGCGUGUAGCAGUGAAAUGCGUAGAUAUGCGGAGGAACACCGGUGGCGAAGGCAGUCCCCUGGACCUGUACUGACGCUCAUGCACGAAAGCGUGGGGAGCAAACA
rnacentral:rRNA from 1 species